rnacentral:rRNA from 1 species
GGGAUGGCAUCGUACUGUAACCAAAGGAGCAAUCCGCUGAAAGAUGGGCUCGCGUCCGAUUAGAUAGUUGGUGAGGUAACGGCUCACCAAGUCGACGAUCGGUAGCCGGACUGAGAGGUUGAACGGCCACAUUGGGACUGAGACACGGCCCAGACUCCUACGGGAGGCAGCAGUGGGGGAUAUUGGUCAAUGGGGGAAACCCUGAACCAGCGACGCCGCGUGAGGGAAGAAGGUCUUCGGAUUGUAAACCUCUGUCUUUAGGGACGAUAAUGACGGUACCUAAGGAGGAAGCCACGGCUAACUACGUGCCAGCAGCCGCGGUAAUACGUAGGUGGCAAGCGUUGUCCGGAAUUACUGGGUGUAAAGGGAGCGUAGGCGGGGAUGCAAGUUGAAUGUCAAACCGAUCGGCUCAACCGGUCGUCGCGUUCAAAACUGUAUCUCUUGAGUGGAGUAGAGGCAGGCGGAAUUCCCAGUGUAGCGGUGAAAUGCGUAGAUAUUGGGAGGAACACCAGUGGCGAAGGCGGCCUGCUGGGCUCUAACUGACGCUGAGGCUCGAAAGUGUGGGUAGCAAACAGGAUUAGAUACCCUGGUAGUCCACACUGUAAACGAUGAUUACUAGGUGUGGGGGGUCUGACCCCUUCCGUGCCGGAGUUAACACAAUAAGUAAUCCACGUGGGGAGUACGACCGCAAGGUUGAAACUCAAAGGAAUUGACGGGGGCCCGCACAAGCAGUGGAGUAUGUGGUUUAAUUCGACGCAACGCGAAAAACCUUACCAGGUCUUGACAUCCUAAGGAUUCUGUAGAGAUACGGAAGUGCCCUUCGGGGAGCUUAGAGACAGGUGGUGCAUGGUUGUCGUCAGCUCGUGUCGUGAGAUGUUGGGUUAAGUCCAGCACCGAGCGCAACCCUUAUUGUUAGUUGCUACGGAAGAGCACUCUAACGAGACUGCCGUUGACAAAACGGAGGAAGGUGGGGACGACGUCAAAUCAUCAUGCCCCUUAUGACCUGGGCUACACACGUACUACAAUGGUCGGUACAGAGGGAAGCAAAAUCGCGAGGUGGAGCAAACCCCUAAAACCGAUCUCAGUUCAGAUUGCAGGCUGCAACCCGCCUGCAUGAAGUUGGAAUU